GGUUGAAUGGUGUAGUGGUUAUCACAUCUGUCUUACAACCUGUGUGGUUCACAGAAGGUCCCAAGUUCGAUCCUUGGUUCAAUCA